rnacentral:lncRNA from 1 species
ACGCGGCCCAGGCACACGGCCAGCGGCUUGGCCUCACUGCGGCCCUUGAGGCGAUACACACAGCUCAGAGCCGCCGAGCAGCUCGCCGAACAGGCCAGACCGUACAGCGUGUCAGUUGGGACCGCCACCACGGCGCCAGCGCGCAGCUCGGCCACGGCGGCCCGCAGCGCCUCGGUCCAACCGGAGCGCUCGGGGCUUGCGGCCUCCACGGCCUCGCUCUCCGGAAGCCGCAGCAGCCGGGCCCCUGGAAGCGCCGGAGCGGGCGCGGGAGGGCGUAGAAGGCGGCAGCCGCGGCUAGAGCCCGCUGGCCCAUCGCUCAGCCCCAUGCCGGCCGCCACAGCGGCCCUCAGCCCCGCACACGGACGCGCAGUAGACAUCCGUCCAGACUCGCUUCCGGGAGGAAGUGACGCACGAACUCAACUUCCGGCCGGCGAGCCUCGGCCCCGCCUCCGCGCCGGGCAGCUUAAAGGGACCGCGACCCCCAUGCGACUAGAAGAACGGGAGGCUGCCGGCGUGGACCGUGGGAAGGCGGGGCUGGGGCUCGGCGGGAGGCCACCCCCGCAGCCGCCCCGAGAUGAACGCGCCCAGCAGCUGCUGGACGCCGUGGAACAGCGGCAGCGGCAGCUCCUGGACACCAUCGCCGCCUGCGAGGAGAUGCUGCGGCAGCUGGGCCGGCGGCGCCCGGAACCGGCUGGUGGCGGGAACGGUUCAGCCAAGUCCGGAGCGUCGCCCCAGCCAUCUGUAUCCACCAGAGGUGGCCUUCCAAAGGAUGCUGGCGAUGGAGCUGCAGAGUCUUGAUCAUUCCCUAUACGGGCACCCUGACUUCUGUCCCUUUCCAGGGCCGAUGGCUGGACUCUGACCAACUCCCUUCA